AAUCAAGCGCGAAAAGGGCGUUUGGUGAAUGCCUUGGCAGUAAGAGGCGAUGAAAGACGUGAUACUCUGCGAUAAGUCAUGGGGAGCUGAGAAUAAGCUUUGAUCCAUGAAUUUCUGAAUGGGGCAACCCACCUGAUACUUUGUUAUUACUGCACUUCGGUGCAGCUAAUAAUGAGGUAAACCAGGUAUUUCUAGACUGAAUACAUAGGUUUAGAAAAGCAAACCCGGGGAACUGAAACAUCUAAGUACCCGGAGGAAAGGAAAUCAAUUGAUACUCCCCUAGUAGCGGCGAGCGAACGGGGACCAGCCGAGCCUUGAAUGUGAAUAGAAUGGUCUGGAAAGGCCAACCAUAGUGGGUGACAGUCCCGUAUAUGAAGCACGAUAGGACGUAUUAAGUAGGGCGGAACACGUGAAAUUCUGUCUGAAGAUCGGAGGACCACCUUCGAAGGCUAAGUACUCCUUACUGACCGAUAGUGAACCAGUACCGUGAGGGAAAGGUGAAAAGCACCCCGACGAGGGGAGUGAAACAGUACCUGAAACCGAACGCCUACAAUCAGUUGGAGGGCCCUUGAGGCCUGACAGCGUACCUUUUGUAUAAUGGGUCAUCGACUUGGUCUCACGAGCAAGCUUAAGCCGUUAGGUGUAGGCGCAGCGAAAGCGAGUCUUAAUAGGGCGUCGAGUUCGUGGGAUCAGACCCGAAACCGAGUGAUCUAGGCAUGACCAGGAUGAAGGUAAGGUAACACUUACUGGAGGUCCGAACCCACACCUGUUGAAAAAGGUCGGGAUGAGUUGUGCCUAGGGGUGAAAGGCCAAUCAAACUCGGAGAUAGCUGGUUCUCUGCGAAAUCUAUUUAGGUAGAGCGUCAUCCGAAUACCCUCGGGGGUAGAGCACUGGAUGGGUAAUGGGGCCCCACAGGCUUACUGAUCCUAACCAAACUCCGAAUACCGAGGAGUACUAGAUGGCAGACACACGGCGAAUGCUAACGUCCGUCGUGAAGAGGGAAACAACCCUGACCUACAGCUAAGGCCCCUAAUUCAUGGCUAAGUGGGAAAGCAGGUGGGACGACCAAAACAACCAGGAAGUUGGCUUAGAAGCAGCCAUCUUUUAAAGAUAGCGUAACAGCUCACUGGUCUAAUCAAGUUGUCCUGCGGCGAAGAUGUAACGGGGCUCAAGCCAUGAGCCGAAGCUUAGGAUGCACUUAGUGCAUGGUAGCAGAGCGUAGUGUGACAUAACUCCAUGUCUCCUUAAGCCCUUCGGGGCGAUUGGAGACGCGGAGUUUUCUGUGAAGCCGGCGCGUGAGCGAUCCGGUGGAGAGAUCACUAGUGAGAAUGAUGACAUGAGUAGCGACAAAGGGAGUGAGAGACUCCCUCGCCGAAAGUCCAAGGGUUCCUGCUUAAAGCUAAUCUGAGCAGGGUAAGCCGACCCCUAAGGCGAGGCCGAAAGGCGUAGUCGAUGGGAACCAGGUUAAUAUUCCUGGGCCAGAUGGAAGUGACGGAUCUCGAAGGUAGUUCAUCCUUAUCGGAUUGAAUGGGCUGCUGAGAGGUUCCUGGAAAUAGCUCCAUCGCUAGAUCGUACCCUAAACCGACACAGGUGGACUGGUAGAGAAUACCAAGGCGCUUGAGAGAACUAUGUUGAAGGAACUCGGCAAAAUACCUCCGUAAGUUCGCGAGAAGGAGGCCCGGUUCCUAGGCAACUAGGGGCUGGGGGCACAAACCAGGGGGUGGCGACUGUUUAUUAAAAACACAGGGCUCUGCGAAGUCGUAAGACGACGUAUAGGGUCUGACGCCUGCCCGGUGCCUGAAGGUUAAAAGGAGGGGUGAGAGCUCUGAAUUGAAGCCCAGGUAAACGGCGGCCGUAACUAUAACGGUCCUAAGGUAGCGAAAUUCCUUGUCGGGUAAGUUCCGACCUGCACGAAUGGCGUAACGA
rnacentral:rRNA from 1 species